GACGAACGCUGGCGGCGUGCUUAACACAUGCAAGUCGAACGGAAAGGCCCUGCUUUUGUGGGGUGCUCGAGUGGCGAACGGGUGAGUAACACGUGAGUAACCUGCCCUUGACUUUGGGAUAACUUCAGGAAACUGGGGCUAAUACCGGAUAGGAGCUCCUGCUGCAUGGUGGGGGUUGGAAAGUUUCGGCGGUUGGGGAUGGACUCGCGGCUUAUCAGCUUGUUGGUGGGGUAGUGGCUUACCAAGGCUUUGACGGGUAGCCGGCCUGAGAGGGUGACCGGCAACAUUGGGACUGAGAUACGGCCCAGACUCAUACGGGAGGAAGCAGUGGGGAAUAUUGAAAAAUGGGCGGAAGCCUGAUGCAGCAACGCCGCGUGCGGGAUGACGGCCUUCGGGUUGUAAACCGCUUUCGCCUGUGACGAAGCGUGAGUGACGGUAAUGGGUAAAGAAGCACCGGCUAACUACGUG
rnacentral:rRNA from 1 species